ACCGCCACGCCCACAUCCCGGGAGUGGACAGUGUGAAGCGUGUCGUCGUGGGUAAGGGUGCGGGAGCGGCACAGUACCCAAGCCUCAGCAGGGUCGUCGAGGCCAUCAUGUUGGAGCUGUGCCGCGUCCACAGCGGCGACGCCAAGACCAUCGCCGGGGCACGCCUCAACCGCUGGGGUGCCGUCAUGAGGGAUUACAAAUUGAUCCAGGACAACGUGGUCAACUGUCCUGCCCUCAUGGCGAGCACCCGCAUCAUGCUGUUUGACGUGAACCAGCGGACCCUGUCCAUGUGGCAAAACACCAGGGAAAAAAAUAAGAUGAGGGACACCCUCUCCCUCGCAGUCCCGGGGCCCAGCGCUCCCCAGACUGCAGCGGAGCCCCUGUCGGCCCCACGGACUCUGCUGCAGCAGCCCCAGCAGCCAGACCAGCCCCUCCAGCACCGCCUGCCCGCGGAUGCCUCUGGUCUGGCUGCAACAAUCAGAGGGCCGCUGGCCCCGGAGCUCUACGACCUCGUGGUGAAGCAGCAGAGUGCCGCCGCCGCCACCCCCCCGGACCUCAGCCCGCUCUCAGCCGCGG
rnacentral:lncRNA from 1 species